rnacentral:tRNA from 3 species
GCGGGUGUGGCGGAAUUGGCAGACGCACCAGACUUAGGAUCUGGCGCCUUUGGCGUGGGGGUUCGAAUCCCUUCACCCGCA